rnacentral:rRNA from 3 species
UACGUAGGCAGCGAGCGUUGUUCGGAAUUACUGGGCGUAAAGAGUGUGUAGGCGGUGCUCUAAGUUCGGUGUGAAAUCUCCUGGCUCAACUGGGAGGGUGCGCCGGAAACUGGAGUGCUUGAGCGUGGGAGAGGAAAGCGGAAUUCCUGGUGUAGCGGUGAAAUGCGUAGAUAUCAGGAGGAACACCUGUGGUGUAGACGGCUUUCUGGACCAUAGCUGACGCUGAGACACGAAAGCGUGGGUAGCAAACAGG